GAAACUGAAAUCAUUACCCAACUAAUCAUUACAGUUCGAAUAAAAUCAAAGAAUAAACGCAAAACUACGAUCGCAAUCUUCAAUUACAAUUCAGUUAAAACCUAAUGAAAGCUCGAAAUUUCUCGGAUCGAACCAAGCUACUGCGAAAUGUGGAAAAUUUGGAAAACGAAGUAUUAAAAGUGAGAGAAUUCUAGAAAUUUACACAAACUGAGAUUGUGCGAGACCUCCUUCGCGGUCAGCCCAACAAAAACGACUCUUUCUCUCUCUCUCUCUCAUUGUCUUUUUCCGAGUUUACAACUACAAUGGCGUCGCCUUCCGAUCCCUCCAACCAGCAGGCUGCUGCUAGGAAACAAACAAAGGACCCCCUUUGAAAUUUCUGUUUCCCCUAAUUUAUGCUCCUGUUCUUCCUCUCAUUCGAAUUCAAUUGCGACAUAACCCUGUUUUGAGGGACUGUUUGUUCACUGCUGUGCUUGCUGGGGCAUUUGCUCAUGGGUUUUUUUUUUUUAUUUGGUUUUUGUUGAUGCUAUUCUAAAAUCUAAUAAUAUGAUUAGGGUUAUCUAAGACAUGUUGCUAACUGGUUUCCCAAGGACCAAAUUCACUGUCUGCUUAUAAUAUUUCAUAAUUCAUUGUUAUUAAACAAUAACCCAUUUCAAUGCUAUACAGCAUGAUAAUAAUGCAAAUAUAUAUAUUUGGGAUUAAAGGAUUACUUUAAGCAAUUAGAUGUAUGGUUGUAUGAUUUUAAAUGUUAACCUUGCUGGCUUUGAAGUCAUAAAAUGGCAAACUAAUGUUAUGGAUGGGGGCUUUAGACUACUUAAUUUAGUAGAUGCAAAAAAAUUGUUAUUCCAUGUUAAACUUUCAACAUACAAAAAAAAUAAAUGGACAUAAAGCAAGUGCCGAACUUUAUCUUAAAGGAAUAUUCGUCUCAGUUUGCUAAGCUAAAAUGAAAAUCGAGAAAGUAAGGUGAGAUCUGUUUGUCCCGACAGAGGGAAAAGUGAUCUUGAAGAUCAUUGUUUCGAAAGCCCUAGAUCGAAACUAUGAUCCCAACUUGUGAAGCACAGUAGAGAGAGAGAGAGAGAGAGAGAGGGAACUCAACGGGUCUCUUUUAUGAGAGAGUGAUCUUACCUGGAGAGCAGUAGUUUUGGG